rnacentral:rRNA from 1 species
GGGGGAAUAUUUGCACAAAUGGGGCGAAAGCCUGAUGCAGCAACGCCGCGUGAGGGAAGACGGUUUUCGGAUUGUAAACCUCUGUUUUCGGUGACGAACAAAUGACGGUACCUGUGGAGGAAGCCACGGCUAACUACGUGCCAGCAGCCGCGGUAAUACGUAGGUGGCAAGCGUUAUCCGGAUUUACUGGGUGUAAAGGGUGUGUAGGCGGGUCUGCAAGUCAGAUGUGAAAACUAUGGGCUCAACUCAUAGCUUGCAUUUGAAACUGUGGAUCUUGAGUGUCGGAGAGGUAAAUGGAAUUCCCGGUGUAGAGGUGAAAUUCGUAGAUAUCGGGAGGAACACCAGUGGCGAAGGCGGUUUACUGGACGAUUACUGACGCUGAGACACGAAAGUGUGGGGAGCAAACAGGGAUUAGAUACCCUGGUAGU